UGUGAGCUCGAUGAGUAGGGCGGGACACGUGGUAUCCUGUCUGAAUAUGGGGGGACCAUCCUCCAAGGCUAAAUACUCCUGACUGACCGAUAGUGAACCAGUACCGUGAGGGAAAGGCGAAAAGAACCCCGGCGAGGGGAGUGAAAAAGAACCUGAAACCGUGUACGUACAAGCAGUGGGAGCCUCUUAAUGGGGUGACUGCGUACCUUUUGUAUAAUGGGUCAGCGACUUAUAUUCUGUAGCAAGGUUAACCGAAUAGGGGAGCCGAAGGGAAACCGAGUCUUAACUGGGCGUUAAGUUGCAGGGUAUAGACCCGAAACCCGGUGAUCUAGCCAUGGGCAGGUUGAAGGUUGGGUAACACUAACUGGAGGACCGAACCGACUAAUGUUGAAAAAUUAGCGGAUGACUUGUGGCUGGGGGUGAAAGGCCAAUCAAACCGGGAGAUAGCUGGUUCUCCCCGAAAGCUAUUUAGGUAGCGCCUCGUGAAUUCAUCUCCGGGGGUAGAGCACUGUUUCGGCAAGGGGGUCAUCCCGACUUACCAACCCGAUGCAAACUGCGAAUACCGGAGAAUGUUAUCACGGGAGACACACGGCGGGUGCUAACGUCCGUCGUGAAGAGGGAAACAACCCAGACCGCCAGCUAAGGUCCCAAAGUCAUGGUUAAGUGGGAAACGAUGUGGGAAGGCCCAGACAGCCAGGAUGUUGGCUUAGAAGCAGCCAUCAUUUAAAGAAAGCGUAAUAGCUCACUGGUCGAGUCGGCCUGCGCGGAAGAUGUAACGGGGCUAAACCAUGCACCGAAGCUGCGGCAGCGACACUAUGUGUUGUUGGGUAGGGGAGCGUUCUGUAAGCCUGUGAAGGUGGCCUGUGAGGGUUGCUGGAGGUAUCAGAAGUGCGAAUGCUGACAUAAGUAACGAUAAAGCGGGUGAAAAGCCCGCUCGCCGGAAGACCAAGGGUUCCUGUCCAACGUUAAUCGGGGCAGGGUGAGUCGACCCCUAAGGCGAGGCCGAAAGGCGUAGUCGAUGGGAAACAGGUUAAUAUUCCUGUACUUGGUGUUACUGCGAAGGGGGGACGGAGAAGGCUAUGUUGGCCGGGCGACGGUUGUCCCGGUUUAAGCGUGUAGGCUGGUUUUCCAGGCAAAUCCGGAAAAUCAAGGCUGAGGCGUGAUGACGAGGCACUACGGUGCUGAAGUAACAAAUGCCCUGCUUCCAGGAAAAGCCUCUAAGCAUCAGGUAACAUCAAAUCGUACCCCAAACCGACACAGGUGGUCAGGUAGAGAAUACCAAGGCGCUUGAGAGAACUCGGGUGAAGGAACUAGGCAAAAUGGUGCCGUAACUUCGGGAGAAGGCACGCUGAUAUGUAGGUGAAGCGACUUGCUCGUGGAGCUGAAAUCAGUCGAAGAUACCAGCUGGCUGCAACUGUUUAUUAAAAACACAGCACUGUGCAAACACGAAAGUGGACGUAUACGGUGUGACGCCUGCCCGGUGCCGGAAGGUUAAUUGAUGGGGUUAGCGGUAACGCGAAGCUCUUGAUCGAAGCCCCGGUAAACGGCGGCCGUAACUAUAACGGUCCUAAGGUAGCGAAAUUCCUUGUCGGGUAAGUUCCGACCUGCACGAAUGGCGUAAUGAUGGCCAGGCUGUCUCCACCCGAGACUCAGUGAAAUUGAACUCGCUGUGAAGAUGCAGUGUACCCGCGGCAAGACGGAAAGACCCCGUGAACCUUUACUAUAGCUUGACACUGAACAUUGAGCCUUGAUGUGUAGGAUAGGUGGGAGGCUUUGAAGUGUGGACGCCAGUCUGCAUGGAGCCGACCUUGAAAUACCACCCUUUAAUGUUUGAUGUUCUAACGUUGGCCCGUAAUCCGGGUUGCGGACAGUGUCUGGUGGGUAGUUUGACUGGGGCGGUCUCCUCCUAAAGAGUAACGGAGGAGCACGAAGGUUGGCUAAUCCUGGUCGGACAUCAGGAGGUUAGUGCAAUGGCAUAAGCCAGCUUGACUGCGAGCGUGACGGCGCGAGCAGGUGCGAAAGCAGGUCAUAGUGAUCCGGUGGUUCUGAAUGGAAGGGCCAUCGCUCAACGGAUAAAAGGUACUCCGGGGAUAACAGGCUGAUACCGCCCAAGAGUUCAUAUCGACGGCGGUGUUUGGCACCUCGAUGUCGGCUCAUCACAUCCUGGGGCUGAAGUAGGUCCCAAGGGUAUGGCUGUUCGCCAUUUAAAGUGGUACGCGAGCUGGGUUUAGAACGUCGUGAGACAGUUCGGUCCCUAUCUGCCGUGGGCGCUGGAGAACUGAGGGGGGCUGCUCCUAGUACGAGAGGACCGGAGUGGACGCAUCACUGGUGUUCGGGUUGUCAUGCCAAUGGCACUGCCCGGUAGCUAAAUGCGGAAGAGAUAAGUGCUGAAAGCAUCUAAGCACGAAACUUGCCCCGAGAUGAGUUCUCCCUGACUCCUUGAGGGUCCUGAAGGAACGUUGAAGACGACGACGUUGAUAGGCCGGGUGUGUAAGCGCAGCGAUGCGUUGAGCUAACCGGUACUAAUGAACCGUGAGGCUUAACCUU
rnacentral:rRNA from 1 species